UGAGGAAUAUUGGUCAAUGGGUGCAAGCCUGAACCAGCCAUCCCGCGUGAAGGACGACUGCCCUAUGGGUUGUAAACUUCUUAUGUAUAGGGAUAAACCUACCCUCGUGAGGGUAGCUGAAGGUACUAUACGAAUAAGCACCGGCUAACUCCGUGCCAGCAGCCGCGGUAAUACGGAGGGUGCAAGCGUUAUCCGGAUAUAUUGGGUUUAAAGGGUCCGUAGGCGGACUUAUAAGUCAGUGGUGAAAGCCUGUCGCUUAACGAUAGAACUGCCUAUGAUACUGUAAGUCUUGAGUAUAUUUGAGGUAGCUGGAAUAAGUAGUGUAGCGGUGAAAUGCAUAGAUAUUACUUAGAACACCAAUUGCGAAGGCAGGUUACCAAGAUAUAACUGACGCUGAGGGACGAAAGCGUGGGGAGCGAACA
rnacentral:rRNA from 1 species